GACGAACGCUGGCGGCGUGCUUAACACAUGCAAGUCGAACGGUGAAGCGAGUGCUUGCACUCGUGGAUCAGUGGCGAACGGGUGAGUAACACGUGAGUAACCUGCCCAUCACUCUGGGAUAAGCACUGGGAACGGUGUCUAAUACUGGAUACGACCAACCCUUGCAUGGGGUGUUGGUGGAAAGAUUUAUCGGUGAUGGAUGGACUCGCGGCCUAUCAGCUUGUUGGCGGGGUAAUGGCCCACCAAGGCGACGACGGGUAGCCGGCCUGAGAGGGUGACCGGCCACACUGGGACUGAGACACGGCCCAGACUCCUACGGGAGGCAGCAGUGGGGAAUAUUGCACAAUGGGCGAAAGCCUGAUGCAGCGACGCCGCGUGAGGGAUGACGGCCUUCGGGUUGUAAACCUCUUUCAGCAGGGAAGAAGCGAAAGUGACGGUACCUGCAGAAGAAGCACCGGCUAACUACGUG
rnacentral:rRNA from 1 species